rnacentral:rRNA from 1 species
GGGCAGCGGGGUAGUGCUUGCACUACUGCCGGCGACCGGCGCACGGGUGAGUAACACGUAUGGAACCUGCCCGCAGCAGGGGGAUAAGCGGAAGAAAUUCCGUCUAAUACCGCGUAACAACGUUGGGAGGCAUCUCCCGAUGUUUAAAGAUUUAUCGGCUGCGGAUGGCCAUGCGGCGCAUUAGCUAGUCGGCGGGGUAACGGCCCACCGAGGCGACGAUGCGUAGGGGUUCUGAGAGGAAGGUCCCCCACACUGGUACUGAGACACGGACCAGACUCCUACGGGAGGCAGCAGUGAGGAAUAUUGGUCAAUGGCCGAGAGGCUGAACCAGCCAAGUCGCGUGAGGGAAGACGGCCCUACGGGUUGUAAACCUCUUUUGUCGGGGAGCAAAGCGAACCACGUGUGGUUCAUUGAGAGUACCCGAAGAAAAAGCAUCGGCUAACUCCGUGCCAGCAGCCGCGGUAAUACGGAGGAUGCGAGCGUUAUCCGGAUUUAUUGGGUUUAAAGGGUGCGCAGGCGGAGGUGCAAGUCAGCGGUCAAAUUGCGGGGCUCAACCCCGUACUGCCGUUGAAACUGCAUCCCUUGAGUGCGCGAGAAGUAUGCGGAAUGCGUGGUGUAGCGGUGAAAUGCAUAGAUAUCACGCAGAACUCCGAUUGCGAAGGCAGCAUACCGGCGCGCAACUGACGCUCAUGCACGAAAGCGUGGGUAUCGAGCAGGAUUAGAUACCCUGGUAGUCCACGCAGUAAACGAUGAACACUAACUGUUCGGCCAGAAUGAUGGCUGAGUGGUACAGCGAAAGCGUUAAGUGUUCCACCUGGGGAGUACGCCGGCAACGGUGAAACUCAAAGGAAUUGACGGGGGCCCGCACAAGCGGAGGAACAUGUGGUUUAAUUCGAUGAUACGCGAGGAACCUUACCCGGGCUCAAACGACACAGGAAUACUUUUGAAAGGAGGUAGCCCUACGGGGUCUGUGUCGAGGUGCUGCAUGGUUGUCGUCAGCUCGUGCCGUGAGGUGUCGGCUUAAGUGCCAUAACGAGCGCAACCCCUAUCGCCAGUUACCAUCAAGUAAAGUUGGGGACUCUGGCGAGACUGCCGGCGCAAGCUGAGAGGAAGGCGGGGAUGACGUCAAAUCAGCACGGCCCUUACGUCCGGGGCGACACACGUGUUACAAUGGCAGGUACAGAGAGAAGCCAGGUGGCGACACCGCGCGGAACUCGAAAGCCUGUCUCAGUUCGGAUCGGAGUCUGCAACCCGACUCCGUGAAGCUGGAUUCGCUAGUAAUCG